GAUGAACGCUGGCGGCGUGCCUAAUACAUGCAAGUCGAGCGAACAGACGAGGAGCUUACUCCUCUGACGUUAGCGGCGGACGGGUGAGUAACACGUGGAUAACCUACCUAUAAGACUGGGAUAACUUCGGGAAACCGGAGCUAAUACCGGAUAACAUGUUGAACCGCAUGGUUCAACAGUGAAAGACGGUCUUGCUGUCACUUAUAGAUGGAUCCGCGUUGCAUUAGUUAGUUGGUAAGGUAACGGCUUACCAAGGCAACGAUGCGUAGCCGACCUGAGAGGGUGAUCGGCCAGACUGGAACUGAGACAGGGUCCAGACUCCUACGGGAGGAAGCAGUCGGGAAUCUUACGCAAUGGGGGAAAGCCUGACAGAGCAACGCCGCGUGAGUGAAGAAGGUCUUCGGAUGGUAAAGCUCUGUAAUCCGGGAAGAACAAAUGUGUAAGUACCUAUGCACGUAUUGACGGUACCUAAUCAGAAAGCCCCGGCUAACUCCGUG
rnacentral:rRNA from 1 species